rnacentral:rRNA from 1 species
AACGCGAAGAACCUUACCUACUCUUGACAUCCUGCGAAUCUGUUUGAAAGGACGGAGUGCCGAAAGGAGCGCAGAGACAGGUGCUGCAUGGCUGUCGUCAGCUCGUGUUGUGAGAUGUUGGGUUAAGUCCCGUAACGAGCGCAACCCUUGCCCUUAGUUGCCAGCGAGUAAAGUUGGGGACUCUAAGGGGACUGCCGGUGAUGAACCGGAGGAAGGCGGGGAUGACGUCAAGUCAUCAUGGCCUUUAUGAGUAGGGCUACACACGUGCUACAAUGGGGCGUACAGAGGGUAGCGAACCCGCGAGGGGGAGCCAAUCCCGAAAAGCGUCUCGUAGUCCGGAUUGGAGUCUGCAACUCGACUCCAUGAAGUCGGAAUCGCUAGUAAUCGCGAAUCAGCCAUGUCGCGGUGAAUACGUUCCCGGGCCUUGUACACACCGACGCAC